rnacentral:rRNA from 1 species
AUGCAUCGUGCGUGCCUCACCUCCAUCUGCAGUUGGAGAGAGAGAUGGAUUGGUGCCUACGACGCGCUGGUCGACGCGGCGGCCGCCGCAGUCCGCGAGCCCGGGUGCACGGUGGCGCUCACGGACCUCCACCGCUGCCUCGAUGCCUUUAGCGAGUCCUGCGACCAAGCCGAGCGCCUCGUCCAGGCGGCCGCUGCCGGCCUCGGCCCCGCCGCCACCUGCCACGACAAGCUGUGUCGCGCCGUGCGUGCGGUCGACAAGGAUCUCUGGGCCGCCGAGGAGAACGAGAUGGAAGACGAGAAGCAUCGCCCUCCGACCACGCCGCUGGCGGCCGAGGACAAAAAGCCCAAUCGAUCUACCUCUUCUCCUGUUGAGAAGAUGAAUGAAACUGUGACGGGAAAGGACAGAUGGACUGGGAUAUAUUGCCUCGCCGUGCCGCAUGGUGGCCGAGAUGCGGUAGCCCCAUGCUCUGUUCCGAUGGGCCUCCUCUGCUCGAUGUUGCCGCUGGUUGAGUUUGGUACGGUUUCCUGUUGUCGCUUGCGUCGAGCCUUGGGUCCGUCUCUCCUUCUCAUUGAGCCUACUUCUCCUGUUGCUGGCGCUUCUUCUUCUCGCCGGUCCUGCUGCUUACCCAACCUUUUGCUUGCUGCCUCGGGUUGCACGAUCUCUGCUGUAGCUGUGUCGUUCGACUCAUCAAGAUAUACCACGAAGGGAAGAUCUGCCUCACUGUGCACUUCAGGCGCGCGCACACUAGCGAUGGUACAGGAUUGGCUUCAUGGUGGAAUCAGGUGCGCAUCGUCCAUGGUGGCCUGUCGUGGGUGUUGGUGGGCGGCUGGAGGCGGCUGUAGCAGGUUCUAG